AUUCGGANGGGCGCAGCCUGACCGAGCACUCCGCGUGAGGGAAGAAGGUCUUCGGAUCNUAAACCUUUGUCUUUGGGGAAGAUAAUGACGGUACCCAAGGAGGAAGCCACGGCUAACUACGUGCCAGCAGCCGCGGUAAUACGUAGGUGGCAAGCGUUGUCCGGAAUUACUGGGCGUAAAGGGCGUGUAGGCGGCGAUGUAAGUCAGACGUGAAAACUCCGGGCUUAACUUGGAGAUUGCGUUUGAAGCUGUAUGGCUAGAGGAUCGGAGAGGGCAGUGGAAUUCCCAGUGUAGCGGUGAAAUGCGUAGAUAUUGGGAGGAACACCAGUGGCGAAGGCGGCUGCCUGGACGACACCUGACGCUGAGGCGCGAAAGCUAGGGGAGCAAACGGGAUUAGAUACCCCGGUAGUCCUAGCCGUAAACGAUGGGUACUAGGUGUGGGAGGUAUCGACCCCUUCCGUGCCGGAGUAAACACAAUAAGUACCCCGCCUGGGGAGUACGGCCGCAAGGUUGAAACUCAAAGAAAUUGACGGA
rnacentral:rRNA from 1 species